UGGCUCAGAUUGAACGCUGGCGGCAGGCUUAACACAUGCAAGUCGAGCGGGGAAAAGUAGCUUGCUACUUAACUUAGCGGCGGACGGGUGAGUAAUACUUAGGAAUCUGCCUAUUAGUGGGGGACAACAUUUCGAAAGGAAUGCUAAUACCGCAUACGUCCUACGGGAGAAAGCAGGGGAUCACUUGUGACCUUGCGCUAAUAGAUGAGCCUAAGUCGGAUUAGCUAGUUGGUGGGGUAAAGGCCUACCAAGGCGACGAUCUGUAGCGGGUCUGAGAGGAUGAUCCGCCACACUGGGACUGAGACACGGCCCAGACUCCUACGGGAGGCAGCAGUGGGGAAUAUUGGACAAUGGGGGGAACCCUGAUCCAGCCAUGCCGCGUGUGUGAAGAAGGCCUUUUGGUUGUAAAGCACUUUAAGCGAGGAGGAGGCUACUCUAGUUAAUACCUAGRRAUAGUGGACGUUACUCGCAGAAUAAGCACCGGCUAACUCUGUGCCAGCAGCCGCGGUAAUACAGAGGGUGCGAGCGUUAAUCGGAUUUACUGGGCGUAAAGCGUGCGUAGGUGGCCAAUUAAGUCAAAUGUGAAAUCCCCUGAGCUUAACUUGGKAAUUGCAUUCGAUACUGGUUGGMMUAGAGUAUGGGAGAGGAUGGUAGAAUUCCAGGUGUAGCGGUGAAAUGCGUAGAGAKCUGGAGGAAUACCGAUGGCGAAGGCAGCCAUCUGGCCUAAUACUGACACUGAGGUACGAAAGCAUGGGGAGCAAACMRGAUUAGAUACCCUGGUAGUCCAUGCCGUAAACGAUGUCUACUAGCCGUUUGGGGUCUUUGAGAAC
rnacentral:rRNA from 1 species